AACGCAUAUUGCGCCCUUUGGUAUUCCGAAGGGCAUGCCUGUUCGAGCGUCAUUAUCAACCAUCAAGCCUGGCUUAUUGUUGGACUCUGCUGCUGAAACAUGGCAGGUCCGAAAAUUAAUAACGGUGUCGUGUUUGACCCUAGAUGCAACGAGCUUUUUAAAGCACGCAUUGAAGUGGUCAACCGGCCUGGUCUUAACCAUCAAAUUUCUAAGGUUGACCUCGGAUCAGAUAGGAAUACCCGCUGAACUUAA
rnacentral:misc_RNA from 1 species